GGGUUGGUAGCUCAGCUGGGAGAGCACUCGGCUGAAGACCGAGUGGUCGGGGGUUCAAGUCCCUCCCAACCCA
rnacentral:tRNA from 1 species